AAAAAAGCUGACAGUUAAUAUGGUAUAUUUAAAGUUCCUGUAACUGCUGCUCUUGUACAGGUUAACUGAAGCACCAGACAACUCCUUCAAGAUCAGAAAGAGCAUCCACCAAUUAGGUGCCUAUCAUACGCUUCAAUGCAUCUCUAUGAGGACAUCCUGAUUGGCUAAAAUUGUGUUUUGCCCCGCCCCCAUCCUGCCUCCUUGCCAAUUCCAGCCAAUCGGCAAUUCUGAUUAUGUCACCAAGGAGGCAGAUCAGGGCGGGGCUUUCGUUGGCUGACCCACAUGGGGCUGGAAAUAAGGUGAGUUUUCAUCUUUUCUAAGGGGGUUAAGGGAGGCAAGCCACCUGAAUGGUGGUUUUAACACUAUAG